rnacentral:rRNA from 1 species
UACGUAGGGUGCGAGCGUUGUCCGGAAUUACUGGGCGUAAAGAGCUCGUAGGUGGUUUGUCGCGUUGUUCGUGAAAACUCACAGCUUAACUGUGGGCGUGCGGGCGAUACGGGCAGACUGGAGUACUGCAGGGGAGACUGGAAUUCCUGGUGUAGCGGUGGAAUGCGCAGAUAUCAGGAGGAACACCGGUGGCGAAGGCGGCUCUCUGGACGGUGACUGACGCUGAGACGCGAAAGCGUGGGGAGCAAACAGG